CCGUCCUUACUCAUAAACUCAUAGUGACAGCCGACCGCCAUUACCGAACUCGACGGCGGCUCCCGACAAGGCGAUAAGCUUCCUCCUAAGAAUAUCCCCGCACUAUAGAGAAUACCAGGGAGGCUGAUGAGAAUGUCUGCAAACCUGAUGAUGAAGAGAUUGUUAAAUAUGCAAAAGGAAGGGAUUUUACUUCCAUUAUUGUUGUACGCACUAAUCGUUGGGAACCAAGUUUGUAUUCUGAG